AGGAACAUUCAUAAUCAGGGGCGAAGUUCAACCAAAGCUACCUAACUGGGUUUAUAGGGAACCUUUUAAAACCUGAAGACCAGAACUGAGAGGAGAGUGUGACUCAGCUGGAUUGACUCUAUUUAAACACAUUGUUCAUGUCCAAAUUCAAGACUUUUCCAGACUUUUCCCAACAAAUAGGCAAAACUUCACUGUUAACUUACUGCUGACAUUUCUGCUGAAAUCAGGUUUUACUCAUGAAACCUCCAGAAACCAAAGGCAAGUAUGAAUUAACUAAAGUUAAAGGACAAAUGGUGGGAUGAAUGCUGAGAUGGAUGGAUUUACAAAGUGAUGGAUGAUAAAUGGAUGGAUGGAUUCUUAUUCACAACUAGAAAAAGGAAAAGAAAAAUCCCCAUUUUCUUUUUCUACACUGCUGUUGCUGUAGGAACUUAUUGUCACCAUAGCAACCUGGCGUUACCGUAGGAACCUUGUGUUGCUGGGAGAACCUGAAGCGUCGACCUGGUGUUAAUGUAAGACAUGAUAUGGGGGGGUUGUCUGACAUGCAGUCAUUGUUUUAUUGCUCUGAAAUCCCUGCUAACCUGAUCACAGUUAUAUAUUUUACCUGAUGUCCUGUCCGGGCCGGGCCUGGACCAUUAUCCUCACCUCCAGCUCCUCUGUGCCCUGUGACACCCAGACAAGCCUGCUCCGUAUCUUCCACUUGGACCACGGCGUCGGCUCCACAGGGGAUUGGAGCGCCGGUCGUCACUCUCAUCACCUGACCAGGCAUUACUGUCCAUCAAUCAGCGAUUGUUUGUGAAGAAGGUCCUGAUGAGACAGCAACAGCGCCCUCUGCAGACUCACCUCUGUAGUUGAUGACUUCAAUUCCCAGAAUCGGUGUCAUCUCCAGAACGGUGAUGAAGGCUUUGUCC